CCUACGUAUUGCCUUGGCUGAACGGGUGCCCAAAUUUCCCUCGGAUUCAUCCUACUUUGCGCGAACCCAAGUUGUUGAACUCUACUUCGUUAUCAAUCUGGUCUUCGUUCUUAUGUCCAAGCGUCGGGUGGUUUAAAUGAUGAGAUUGUAUAUCAAACAGGUUUUCGAGUGUCGCAUGCUUGGCAUGAGCGAAAAAUUGAAGUGCGUCUGCGAGUGCGGGAAACUAACGUCUAGAGUUGAGGUGCUCCGCUCAUAGACAUUGGCAAUCUUGGGUUCACCAUCAUCUUGUACCUAUUUUUUCAGUACACACAUUGUAAUGCCUCAUUGUACGAAAGUACGAAUUUAGGGUGAGACCUUGCCUCAUCCUUCAAUUUCUAGGGGCAUUCACUCUUUUUCUUGUGCAGAUUCUUCCGAAAUCACUUCUUGAACCAUAGAGAAUCACGGGACCGUUUUGAUAUUGUCUUGCCGAAUAAGUGCCGAAAUGGGUAGAUUAUCUUAGGAAUAAUCCUAGUAAUUACCUUAGCAGUUACUCUUGAAAUUCAUCAUGCAUGUGAAAUCAGUAACUAAAGCACUUACUUUCAUGUGAUUUAA